UGCCAUGGGCUGCCAGUCCGUACGUGCACCGAAGUUGAACGAUUUUUCUUGUUUCUUACCAUGUCGUUAUUUACCACAGAUAAUGUGCAGAAGUUGACUGGCUAACAUUGUUACCGAUACAAGUUGAUGUACAGCGAACGGCCUGCAACCGCAUCAAGUUCUUCGCUUUAACAUAACUGAUCACCCAGCUGUGCGCUCAUCUCAUCAGCGAGAGCAUCGUUACCUGGCUGUAUGACACAUGCUACUGGAGGCCUGUGAGAUCAACUGGCCUGUCGUUUUUAUUGGCUCUGCGAAGUGAAGACGACUAAAAGAGCGGCGAAUACUCCCGCUCAAGGCACCCCGAAGGUAGUCUUUACGCCCAGGGACAUGAAGAUCUUGAGCAACAGGCUCCACAGCAACCAUAACUUGGGAGUGUGGAUGGAUUGGGUGCAGGGACAAGCGGGUGGCCUCG